CUCCUCCAUUGCAGUUUCUCUGCACAAGAGCUACUUUUCCUCCCUCUGAUUAUGCCUCUUUCGUUUCGUGGUGUUGUACCGAUCAUCUGUGGUGGUCACUCGCGGUCCGUGCCGGUGCUUUUUCGUCGUUCCGGCUGCGAACUACUGCUCGCUGUUGGUCGCCACAUUGCUUCAUAAAUGCCUAUGCUCCACCUCCCUCUCAAGCGUGCUUACAGGUUUGUGGUUGCCCUCCUGUAUCCUCUCUGUCUGUCUUUCGUCCUACCUACACCUGUGUGUACGCUUAAAAUGAAAUGCGGGUUCAGUCUGAUAGGAUGGGGAUGGCCAGAUGCUUGCAAGUUCAACUGUAGUGCUGGGUUUUGUGUACCCUAUUUCCUCGCAGCCCUAUUUGGGUUCGUUCAUACAGAGAUGUGUACUCUGGCUAAUAAUUUUUGUAUGAUGACUCUAUUAGUUCCUCUAUAGUAUGUUAGGCUGAUAUGUUGCCCA